UAUCGUGAGGUAGAAUCUGAAGGAAGCUGGAGGCAAAAUCUUGGCUCGACGGACAGAAAUCACAUAUUAAGGCUAUAUAAACAGGACGAGGUUGCAACACAAACUGAAGUCCGAUACUACACGAGGUUUAUAUGGUAAAUGUGACGAGUAGACGAGAUGAAAGUG
rnacentral:ncRNA from 1 species